AUUCUUUUGUAAUUUAUAAGUGUGAUGACUGAGUGUUCGUUGCCAUGUGUGUGAGAUGUGCCUCCCUCAAACUUUGUUAUGACUUUAGCACAUUACCUACCUGAUA
ensembl:snoRNA